UCUGUUACUCUCCCCUGAACUAAAGGUUUAUGUCCAGUAGUUUGUAUCCUACUGAAAGAGAGAGUCUGUAGUCUGUUACUCUCCCCUGAACUAAGGGUUAAUGUCCAGUAGUUUGUAUCCUACUGAAAGAGAGAGUCUGUAGUCUGUUACUCUCCCCUGAACUAAAGGUUAAUGUCCAGUAGUUUGUAUCCUACUGAAAGGGAGAGUCUGUAGUCUGUUACUCUCCCCUGAACUAAAGGUUAAUGUCCAGUAGUUUGUAUCCUACUGAAAGAGAGAGUCUGUAGUCUGUUACUCUCCCCUGAACUAAAGGUUUAUGUCCAGUAGUUUGUAUCCUACUGAAAGAGAGAGUCUGUAGUCUGUUACUCUCCCCUGAACUAAAGGUUAAUGUCCAGUAGUUUGUAUCCUACUGAAAGAGAGAGUCUGUAGUCUGUUACUCUCCCCUGAACUAAAGGUUAAUGUCCAGUAGUUUGUAUCCUACUGAAAGAGAGAGUCUGUAGUCUGUUACUCUCCCCUGAACUAAAGGUUAAUGUCCAGUAGUUUGUAUCCUACUGAAAGGGAGAGUCUGUAGUCUGUUACUCUCCCCUGAACUAAGGGUUAAUGUCCAGUAGUUUGUAUCCUACUGAAAGAGAGAGUCUGUAGUCUGUUACUCUCCCCUGAACUAAAGGUUUAUGUCCAGUAGUUUGUAUCCUACUGAAAGGGAGAGUCUGUAGUCUGUUACUCUCCCCUGAACUAAGGGUUAAUGUCCAGUAGUUUGUAUCCUACUGAAAGAGAGAGUCUGAGAGUCUGUUACUCUCCCCUGAACUAAAGGUUAAUGUCCAGUAGUUUGUAUCCUACUGAAAGAGAGAGUCUGUAGUCUGUUACUCUCCCCUGAACUAAGGGUUAAUGUCCAGUAGUUUGUAUCCUACUGAAAGAGAGAGUCUGUAGUCUGUUACUCUCCCCUGAACUAAAGGUUAAUGUCCAGUAGUUUGUAUCCUACUGAAAGAGAGAGUCUGUAGUCUGUUACUCUCCCCUGAACUAAGGGUUAAUGUCCAGUAGUUUGUAUCCUACUGAAAGAGAGAGUCUGUAGUCUGUUACUCUCCCCUGAACUAAAGGUUAAUGUCCAGUAGUUUGUAUCCUACUGAAAGAGAGAGUCUGAGAGUCUGUUACUCUCCCCUGAACUAAAGGUUAAUGUCCAGUAGUUUGUAUCCUACUGAAAGAGAGAGUCUGUAGUCUGUUACUCUCCCCUGAACUAAGGGUUUAUGUCCAGUAGUUUGUAUCCUACUGAAAGAGAGAGUCUGUAGUCUGUUACUCUCCCCUGAACUAAAGGUUUAUGUCCAGUAGUUUGUAUCCUACUGAAAGGGAGAGUCUGUAGUCUGUUACUCUCCCCUGAACUAAAGGUUUAUGUCCAGUAGUUUGUAUCCUACUGAAAGAGAGAGUCUGUAGUCUGUUACUCUUCCCUGAACUAAAGGUUAAUGUCCAGUAGUUUGUAUCCUACUGAAAGAGAGAGUCUGUAGUCUGUUACUCUCCCCUGAACUAAAGGUUUAUGUCCAGUAGUUUGUAUCCUACUGAAAGAGAGAGUCUGUAGUCUGUUACUCUCCCCUGAACUAAAGGUUAAUGUCCAGUAGUUUGUAUCCUACUGAAAGGGAGAGUCUGUAGUCUGUUACUCUCCCCUGAACUAAAGGUUUAUGUCCAGUAGUUUGUAUCCUACUGAAAGGGAGAGUCUGUAGUCUGUUACUCUCCCCUGAACUAAAGGUUAAUGUCCAGUAGUUUGUAUCCUACUGAAAGAGAGAGUCUGUAGUCUGUUACUCUCCCCUGAACUAAAGGUUAAUGUCCAGUAGUUUGUAUCCUACUGAAAGAGAGAGUCUGUAGUCUGUUACUCUCCCCUGAACUAAAGGUUUAUGUCCAGUAGUUUGUAUCCUACUGAAAGGGAGAGUCUGUAGUC